UCUCAGUUGCCAUCCUUGUUCUAGCCAGCUCAGUGUGGACUUCCUUUGCAGUUGAUUUCUUCCUUCCUAUGGGAUCUCACAUGACCGAGGAACUUCUACAAAAGACAAAGGCCUUGUGCAUCAAGAAUAUACAGAUGUGCU